rnacentral:rRNA from 1 species
GACGAACGCUGGCGGCGUGCCUAAUACAUGCAAGUCGAACGCAGUGGGGACGGGUGAGUAACACGUUGGUAACCUCCCAUCAGAGGGGAUAACACUUGGAAACAGGUGCUAAACCGAUACUGAUGGAUGGACCCGCGGUGAAUUAGCUAGUUGGUGGGGUAACGGCUCACCAAGGCCACGAUGCAUAGCCGACCUGAGGGGGUGAUCGGCCACACUGGGACUGAAAACCGGCCCAGACUCCUACGGGGGGCAGCAUGGGGGAAUCUUCGGCAAUGGAGGAAAGUCUGACAGAGCAAGGCCGCGUGGGUGAAGAAGGUUUUCGGAUCGUAAACCUCUGUUGUUAGAGAAGCGGUAUCUAACCAGAAAGCCACGGCUAACUACGUGCCAGCAGCCGCGGUAAUAC